UACGGAGGGGGCUAGCGUUGUUCGGAAUUACUGGGCGUAAAGCGCACGUAGGCGGCUUUGUAAGUUAGAGGUGAAAGCCCGGGCUACACUCGGAAUUGCCUUUAAGACUGCAUCGCUAGAAUUGUGGAGAGGUAAGUGGAAUUCCGAGUGUAGAGGUGAAAUUCGUAGAUAUUCGGAAGAACACCAGUGGCGAAGGCGGC
rnacentral:rRNA from 1 species